UAUUAUUUUAAGAUUAUUUUUUAUUGUUGAAAAAAUUAAAAAUAAAUUGUUUUUAACAAAAAUUAAAAUUUAUAAUAUUUCAUUUUUUGGUUUUUUGUUUUAAAUUAAAAUAAUAAAUAUGGGGGAAAAAAAAAUUUUGUUAUAAAUUAUAUUAGUUUAUUUUAAUUAAAAAUAUUUUUUAUUAAAUUUGUUUUUUUUAUUUUUUUAUAAAAAAUAUUAAUUUAAUUAUUAUUAUUGAGUUUAAUUUAGUUAUUUUUAAAAAAAUUUUGUAUAAAAUAAAUUUGAUAAUAAAUGUUUUUUAAAUUCUUUGGGGGUUUAGUUUAUGAUUUUUUGUUUCUGCUCAUUGUUAAAUAAAAGCACUUUUA
rnacentral:rRNA from 1 species